rnacentral:rRNA from 1 species
GAUGAACGCUAGCGGGAGGCUUAAUACAUGCAAGUCGAGGGGUAACGAUGGACUUCGGUUCAGGCGACGACCGGCGCACGGGUGAGUAACGCGUACACGACCUACCUUAUACAGAGGGAUAGGCCUGGGAAACUGGGAGUAAUACCUCAUAGUAAUAUUUAUUUUCGAAUUAAUAUUUAAAGCUCCGGCGGUAUAAGAUGGGUGUGCGUUAGAUUAGCUAGUUGGUAAGGUAAUGGCUUACCAAGGCGACGAUCUAUAGGGGGCGUGAGAGCGUGGACCCCCACACGGGUACUGAGACACGGACCCGACUCCUACGGGAGGCAGCAGUAAGGAAUAUUGGACAAUGGGGGCAACCCUGAUCCAGCCAUCCUGCGUGCAGGAAGACGGCCCUAUGGGUUGUAAACUGCUUUUGUAUGGGAAGAAUAUGUUUCAUUUAUGAGAUUUUGACGGUACCAUACGAAUAAGCACCGGCUAACUCCG